rnacentral:rRNA from 1 species
UACGUAGGUGGCAAGCGUUGUCCGGAUUCAUUGGGCGUAAAGAGCUCGUAGGCGGCCACUCAAGUCGAAUGUGAAACCUCGAGGCUUAACCUCGAGCCUGCAUUCGAUACUGGGCGGCUAGAGUCUGGUAGGGGGAUCUGGAAUUCCUGGUGUAGCGGUGGAAUGCGCAGAUAUCAGGAGGAACACCGGUGGCGAAGGCGGGAUCCUGGGCCAGUACUGACGCUGAGGAGCGAAAGCGUGGGGAGCGAACAGG